rnacentral:rRNA from 1 species
UUGUUGGUGAGGUAAUGGCUCACCAAGGCGACGACGGGUAGCCGGCCUGAGAGGGCGACCGGCCACACUGSGKCUGAGACACGGCCCAGACUCUACGGGAGGCAGCAGUGGGGAAUAUUGGGCAAUGGAGGAAACUCUGACCCAGCGACGCCGCGUGCGGGAUGAAGGCUUCGGGUUGUAAACCGCUUUCAGCAGGGAAGAAGCGAAAGUGACGGUACCUGCAGAAGAAGCACCGGCUAACUAUGUGCCAGCAGCCGCGGUAAUACAUAGGGUGCAAGCGUUGUCCGGAAUUAUUGGGCGUAAAGAGCUCGUAGGUGGUUCGUCACGUCGGAUGUGAAACUCUGGGGCUUAACCCCAGACCUGCAUUCGAUACGGGCGAGCUUGAGUAUGGUAGGGGAGUCUGGAAUUCCUGGUGUAGCGGUGGAAUGCGCAGAUAUCAGGAGGAACACCAAUGGCGAAGGCAGGACUCUGGGCCAUUACUGACACUGAGGAGCGAA